CAAAACUGUGUCCUCAUUAUUAGAUUGGCACUGAGAAAAAGGACCAAGCUUUUGGCAACAAAAUUGGCACCCCAGAUGGGACCUGAGAUCAGCCCUCGCUCCGGCUUUCUUGGACACGCCUGGCUCUCCAAGGAACCCCACUUCCAUGCUGAGGAUGUAAGGCAAACUCUUUGAAAGCUGACUGCUGGUAAGUCAGGAGACAGGUGAGUGUGCCUCAGGUCAAACAAGAGGAGCUAUGUCUCAUGAUCCCUGCCCUACAUAUGCCUUGUCCAGUCACCUGCCAUCUGUCACUAUGGACCUCUGAACUGCUCUGAUGCUGAAUGCUCCUGUUCAUGUCCCACCUGAUAGAGAACAAGGACUUUGGGUUACUUCCUCAACUUCAACCCCUUUCAGCAGGAAGCAGUUUGGAGAUGUCAUCGACCAUUUCUUCAUAGAAAUGGAAUGUAGAAAUUGACAGUGGGGAAGUGUAACAGUGUCCACUCUAUGCUUUGAAUAUAGGCCUUGCUGUUCUGCCACUGCAACCGAUCUUUAAAAGGACAUGUUUUUUUCUCUUCCUCUCUUCCUACUCCUCCCUAAUCUCUCACCUCCCUAAUCUCAGGGGAAACAGGAUCACCUUUCUUCCCCAUCCUAGGCAGAUCUUUUUUUCCUGGAGUAUACAUACCCAUUGUAGGAACGAAGUAACCCAGACUUUGGGGAUGGCACCAGAAGACCUCAGAAAUGACUAUCUUCCAAAUUAACAAGAGAAUCACACCUCCAGAUGGAGAACACGUGGAAUGUAGCCUUGUCACCUCUUAGCUCCUGUUCCUGCUGAUGGGCAGAAUCACAUCACGGCCUCUGAAACAGGAGCUCCCUG
rnacentral:lncRNA from 1 species